UCCGUAGGUGGAUCAAUCAGUCAGAGGUGAAAUCCUGCAGCUUAACUGUAGAACUGCCUUUGAUACUGUUGAUCUUGAGUCAUUAUGAAGUGGUUAGAAUGUGUAGUGUAGCGGUGAAAUGCAUAGAUAUUACACAGAAUACCGAUUGCGAAGGCAGAUAACUAAUAAUGUACUGACACUGAGGGACGAAAGCGUGGGGAGCGAACAGGAUUAGAUACCCUGGUAGUCC
rnacentral:rRNA from 1 species